rnacentral:rRNA from 1 species
UACGUAGGGGGCGAGCGUUGUCCGGAGUUACUGGGCGUAAAGCGCGCGCAGGCGGUUCACCAAGUCUGGAGUGACAGUUCCCGGCUUAACUGGGAAAGGCCUUCGGAAACUGGUGAACUUGAGGGGCUUAGAGGGAGACGGAAUUCCAGGUGGAGCGGUGAAAGUGCGUAGAGGAUCUGGAGGAACACCAAAGGCGAAGGCAGUCUCCUGGAGGCUUCCUGAGCGCU